CCUACGGGUGGCAGCAGUGGGGAAUAUUGCACAAUGGGCACAAGCCCGAUGCAGCCAUGCCGCGUGUGUGAAGAAGGCCUUCGGGUUGUAAAGCACUUUCAGCGGGGAGGAAGGCGUUAAGGUUAAUAACCUUGUCGAUUGACGUUACCCGCAGAAGAAGCACCGGCUAACUCCGUGCCAGCAGCCGCGGUAAUACGGAGGGUGCAAGCGUUAAUCGGAAUUACUGGGCGUAAAGCGCACGCAGGCGGUCUGUCAAGUCGGAUGUGAAAUCCCCGGGCUCAACCUGGGAACUGCAUUCGAAACUGGCAGGCUAGAGUCUUGUAGAGGGGGGUAGAAUUCCAGGUGUAGCGGUGAAAUGCGUAGAGAUCUGGAGGAAUACCGGUGGCGAAGGCGGCCCCCUGGACAAAGACUGACGCUCAGGUGCGAAAGCGUGGGGAGCAAACAGGAUUAGAUACCCGGGUAGUC
rnacentral:rRNA from 1 species